GUACUUCCGUGUGUUGUUUUGACGUCAAAAGAAGUUGCUGAACUGCGGCAUGUAAGCAAAAAAGGGACGUUUGGAAGUAUCAAAUAAAGAUGAGCUCCAAUGCCGCGAGUCCCAUGUCGGGCAGCGCCAGUGCCGGGAGGAGUUCUGGGAAGGCCACUAGUUUCAUCCCGGAGCUGCAGAGCAUGAUGUUUGCUCUGGGAGACGCCCGCAGGCCUCUACAUGAAACAGCGGCGCUGGUAGAGGACAUCGUUCACACCCAGCUCAUCAAUCUGCUCCAUCAGGCUGCAGAGGUGUCACUUUUAAGAGGAGCCCGGGUUAUAUCCGCGGAGGACAUCUUGUUUCUGAUGAGAAAAGACAAGAAAAAAGUACGGCGGUUGCUGAAGUACAUGCAGUUCAGAGACUACAAGUCCAAAAUACUCAAGAGCAUGGACGAUGAAGACCCGCUGGAUUCAGAUAAGUACAGCAGCAAUGUCAACAAGCGGCAGAAGCUAGCUCAGGACUUCCUGGGCUCCAUUGACCAGACAGGGGAGUUCCUGGCUCUGCUGGACGAAGAAGAAAUUGAUGAAGUCAAACAAGAGAGGCUGGAGAGGUUGGAGAGGCAGACUAGAAUAAUGGACUCUGCUCAGUACAGUGAAUUCUGUGAGAGUCGACAGCUCAGCUUCUCCAAAAAGGCCUCAAAGUUUCGGGAGUGGCUAGACUGCAGCAGCAUGGAGGUGAAGCCCAAUGCCGUUUCCAUGGAGAUCCUGUCCUACCUGGCGUAUGAGACUGUGGCUCAGUUGGUGGACUUGGCGCUGCUGGUUAAACAGGACAUGACUCAGAAGACUGGGGAUCCCUUCAGCCAUGCCAUAUCAGCCUCCUUCAUCCAGUAUCACAAUUCCAUGGGCGAGGUUCACCUGCCAGGCCAGACGGUAACCGGGAAGCGAGAUCCUGACUCCCCGGAAAACACCCCCCCGUCCACGCCCGGAGCCCCGCUGGCCCCCACCCAUCAGGGGAAGCUCCACUCCGUCGCCCAGGGCAACGGCGGGCUGGGCCAGGACGGCGGAAAAUUCAAGCAGAGGAAGAGAAAGAAGAGCGCAGCCGCCAGCAGUGCAGAGAUCCAGAGCAGCGCCAUCCAGCCAGCACAUAUCAGAGAGGCCAUCCGCCGAUACAGCCAGAAGGCCAGCCCUCUGUCGCCCUUUUCCCACUAGUGGCCCUCUGUGCUCCCGCAGACAGAGAUGUUUGGAUAUCAAAACAGAAUGUGAGAUUCCUGCCGACACCGUCUACUACAUCAGACAACAGGAGCGCCUACCGCAGAAGCGGGAUGACUUUUCUGGCCUGCUGAUUGGCCGGAGGCCAGAGGAGCGCACAGAGAGUUCCCACUACCCCUAAGAAGACGUUUUCCCUCCUCUUCCUCUCUCCCACCCCCGUCGGAGGAAGGGUUACACGGCCCCCAUGUGUCUCUUGUUUACCGGCUGCAGCGCUGCCUUAAUUGAGGAAGGAAGCUUGGCAGCAGUGUGGAGGCUGUCAGGAAUGUGGGCCGGGCUGUCUGCGUGUGGCUGGCAGGAGAGGCCGUGUCAGUCUGCAGGGCUCCUUUACUGGAAACAAACCGGGUUUCAUCUCCUGCAUAUAAAACUAUUUAAAGCUCAAUUGGGUAAACAUUUUUGGAGCUGUUAUUUAGUUUUAUUGUAUGUUUUUCUUUACUUACAAAGCCGUUCUAAUUUACUAUGGGAAUUUUCAAUGAAACAUUGUCUUAUUUCAGUACAAUAGAGACGUUAAACGAAUGUACAGACCUUUAAAAUUGAUGUAAAGGUCAAACUGAGUAAGUCAAUUGAGUAGUACUCAGUAUUUUCACAUAUCCAAAUAAAUGUGUGUAAUGAAGCGGUCUAGCCAAGCUGUAAUAGACUAACACCAGUGGACGUUGAAGUCACCCCUCUUCUGUGUGUUUUUGGGGGUCAUUCCCUGGUGAAUGUUAGAGAGCUGGGGGGGUAGUUUGAUAGUGUUCUUGCAGUGGUCACACACAAACUGAGGCACAGUGGUCAGGUAAACCCUGUAAUUAAAUUCCAUUAAAUCUCCUGUUCAAUAUGCAUGUGAACCCAAAACUAUGUGAUACAUGGCAUGUAUAUGGCAGAGAAACAUAGAAGCAUCUAAUGCUUCCGAGGAACAUGCAAGCAUGAGGUCCCCCUUUCAUCUCAGUAGACAUUCUCUAUACGCCUCAGCCAGAGACGACUGCUCCUUUCUUGUUUAAAUAAUAAAUAAUUUGUUAUUUAGCUGAUGCUUUUAGCCAAAGCUUACAGUUGAUUAGACUAAGCAGGAGUGCGGUUAAGGUUCUUGCUCAACAGCUGUGUGGAUCUUAUUAUGGCUACACCAGGGCAUCAUGGACCACCAACCUUCCGGGUCCCAAUCAUGUACCCCACUAGGCUACAGCUGUGUAUGUGUUGAGGUGCAUGUGGGGAAAAAAAAACAAUUUCCUCACAACAACAUUAACUUGUUUUAGUCGAUUUGUAGCAACCACCUCCUAUGAUACCUUGACUUGACUUGUGGGGUUUUUGGAAGUGGAUAUUUAUAUUUCAGGCAAUGAUUAGACUGUUAAAUUGAACUCCUGAGCAGUUGGCUAUUAAUUUAUCAACACAGUGAUUAACCAAGGCUUUGAAUCCUGGCUUUGAGUCAUGCAAUUUUUGUUUCGUUGCAUUUUCCAUUGAAGUAGUUAAGUUGUUCCGUUACAUGUAUGUUAAUCCUUCUGUAAAAGCUGCAUAAUAAAGCAUUGUUUUUUUUACUGAAA